AUUGAACGCUGGCGGCAGGCUUAACACAUGCAAGUCGAGCGGGGAAAGGUAGCUUGCUACCUGACCUAGCGGCGGACGGGUGAGUAAUGCUUAGGAAUCUGCCUAUUAGUGGGGGACAACAUCUCGAAAGGGAUGCUAAUACCGCAUACGUCCUACGGGAGAAAGCAGGGGACCUUCGGGCCUUGCGCUAAUAGAUGAGCCUAAGUCGGAUUAGCUAGUUGGUGGGGUAAAGGCCUACCAAGGCGACGAUCUGAGCGGGUCUGAGAGGAUGAUCCGCCACACUGGGACUGAGACACGGCCCAGACUCCUACGGGAGGCAGCAGUGGGGAAUAUUGGACAAUGGGGGGAACCCUGAUCCAGCCAUGCCGCGUGUGUGAAGAAGGCCUUUUGGUUGUAAAGCACUUUAAGCGAGGAGGAGGCUACCGAGAUUAAUACUCUUGGAUAGUGGACGUUACUCGCAGAAUAAGCACCGGCUAACUCUGUG
rnacentral:rRNA from 1 species